CACAGAUGCCCCGAGGCUAUUUCUCGAUCAAAACAAAGCGGCUGCUUGUACAACUGUCUGUUGCCGACGAAGGACUUACAAAUUUUGACUUGUCGGACAAUCCUGGCGUCAUAUCGCAGUAUCUUCACGUCGUGCAUGUGAUCGAGCGGAGUUGUCUUCUCGGUGGCGCCUACAGAUGACCUCAAAGACCCCGAGGAAGCCACCACGCGGCUAACGCGAGCUCCUACGCUGUUAUGGUUGCCCGAUAGCCUUAUCUAUUAUACGGCACAGAAUUGCACGAUCCGCGGUUAACGACAGGGAGGUCCCACGUGUCACGCCGAUUAUUGCCACGAGGAACAGAUGGUCGUACGAAGACGUUCCUGCUGUUUGUUAUCAUUACGAUAACGAGUAAUGCUCGUCAUCGUUGGCCAGGUGUCCCGCUGAAUUCUUAUCGGUAAAUGUAUUUAUCUUUAGCCGUAGGUGACUCAUGAGACUGUAAUAUUCCUACUGUACCCGUGUUCUUGGUACCUGUGUUCAAUUUAUCCCGAUUUCCACACGUACCUCGUAUAUAGAAAUUUCAAGUUUUCUCAACUCCGAAAGUUACUGUAACCACCGCUGUGCGGCGCUCAAAGCGUAACUGCCCACGUAUAAACGAUAGAGCGAUAACCCGCUUGUUAAUGGUAUUUGUAACGGGAACGGCGCCUUUGACGCAGAUGCAGACGCAACAGAGACGCGCGUUACGAUGCAUUGUGCGGACUCAUUUAAGCUUUCGACGCGGUUACCGCUGGCGUCGUUCAGUCCGUCGAUGCUUGAUAAGAGGCACACGGGGGUGGAGCAUGUUCUCGCUGUUCCUGGUAACCAAAGUGAAACCGCCCACCGAUGGAAUUCACUGAUUUCACGGAACAUUUUUUUAUACUUUUUUUUUUAUAAUUUUUACACUAUCCCCUCCAGUCUUUUUUUUCACUUACUGCCUAAAUCUACAAAUUUGACCAUUUUUUGACUGGAAACUUUACGAGUGGCUGACGAGCCGUGAAUGCGUAUACAUAUUUCGUAAAUAAAAUAGAAGCUAUUUUUUAAUUGCAAAAAAAAUUUUUUCCGAACGACUCGCACGUGAAAAUUUUCCAAAACUACGAGCACUCUACCGCCCGGCGUAUGAGUGACAGUGGAGAGAGAUACGCGGAAGAUUUUUUUU